rnacentral:rRNA from 1 species
CGAAUGAUUAGAGGUUCGGGAGUUGUAACAACUUUCACCUAUUCUCAAACUUUAAAUUGGUAAGAACGCAGAGUUGCUUCAUUGAACUCUGUGCCGAAUGCGUGUUCCAUGUGGGCCAUUUUUGGUAAGCAGAACUGGCGACGAGGGUUCAACCUAAGGCAGGGUUGAGGCGACCAAUUGGCAGCUAAUGAGAUGAAAAGGUGUUAGUUCAUUUAGACAGUAGGACGGUGGCCAUGGAAGUCGGAACCCGCUAAGGAGUGUGUAACAACUCACCUACCGAAUGAACUAGCCCUGAAAAUGGAUGUCGCUAAGCAGCCAGCCGAUACCCUGCUGUCCAGCUUGAUGACAGUUGGACAGGUAGGAGGGCGUGGAGGCAGCGCAGAAGGCUCUGUGUGGACAGGGUUGGAGCUACCUCUAGUGCAGAUCUUGGUGGUAGUAGCAACUAUUCAA